CCAUCGCUACCCCGCCUGCGGACCGGCUCUGGCACAUUAAUUAUUCAUGAGGCCAGGCCAGCUUCCCCGGAUCGUUGCUCUGGAUUGGUCCAGCCUGCGAGAGGGGCAGGCGCAGAUCCUCGGGCCGUGAUUGGUCGGGCAGCCGGGAUAAGAUAGACACGUGCGGGGCCAGGGCUUGGUCUGCAAAUGGAGAGCUCCCUCAAGAGUGCCCUUUCCAGAGAGAAGCCCUCACCUCUGCCCUGUGUGAUGUCUCAGAAGCCACUACCAGAUAGCCACGGUUUCUGCAGUCAAAGACGUGCUGGAGGGGACAGAGAAUCCAAACACCAGGGGAGCAAGAGUAGAGUUGGUUUCAUUCACCCCGGGCUCUCCAAGCAUAGCAAACGCUCUGGAAGCACGUGAUGAGUGGCUGGGUGACGAAGAGCUACGACCCGAGACAUGGUACCCACAUGGGUACCCACCCUAUGGGUAGACACGAGCCUGGUGUCAGGAGGAACUGGGUUUGAAUCCUUCAACAACUGUGUGGCCUUUCCUCUCUCUGAGCGUCGAUGUCCUUAUUCGUAGAGUGGAUGAUCAUACCUUCCUUGCAGAGCCAUUGCACAGAUAGUGACAUAGGCACACACAAUACAGUCCUGGCUCACGCUCAGGAGACAGUGGCUGUCAAGUCAGGAGCCCGUCCUGCAGCAGCCUAGCCAUCUGGAAGGAUCACUCCUCGACAUGCCGUCAAUGCCUGGCACUUGGUAAGAAUGAGUUUCUCACAUUUCUCUGAAGGGAUGGGGUGGGGGGCAGGUAGAGAAGAAGGCUCUGGGCACCUAGGGUGGGAAGGAAGAAGAGAGAGACUGGCCCUGAGGGUAGCCAGUGCCUCUUUGUUCAUUUUCUCACCAGAAUAACAGGGGAAAUAUACCAUUUAGAAAGAGGCAGUGAGGAUUAAAUGAGCUAGCAUAUCCAGCACAUAGAAGGCCCUCUCCCCAUCCUCGUCCCUGAAAGCAAACUCCUCGAUUUCUCAGUUUUGCUCUGGUUCCCAGGCUGUGCAUGGAGGCAAACACAGGGCCCUUCACUCAGGCCAAGCUCAGGAGAGCCCAGGCUGCACCGAGUCCACACUCUCGGCUCAUUUCCCUCAGUCCACCAAGAGGAUGACACCAAGGCCCCCUCCUGUACCCCUGCCUCUGCCCCAGCAAGUCCUACUGAGAUCCUGCCUGUUAUGAAAUGGGGCUGUCCCAUUGGGUGCAGGGCAGAUGGCACCAUGCCUCUAGGAGCCUCAGCAUGUGUUUCCAAGGAGACAGCCGUGUGUGUGUGUGUACACACCAACUUGUACCAUCCAGUUCUUCAAAGGAAGGUGGAAAGAAGGGAAUGAGGGUCAGGUUGCAAAUGGGAUGUAGGUGGAAGACGCACGACGCCAGGCCAUGCUGCUGUUUGCCUUUCACAGAAAAAACCAGCACAGCAUCUCACGGUUUGCAGACACUUUCACAUGGGAUAACUCACUUAAUCUUGGCAACAAGCUCAUGGCACAGAUAUUCUUUUCCGCUUUUUAAAGUCUGGAGAUGGAGAGAGAGGGGGGCAAGUCCCAACCAGUGGGUUGUAGAAUUAGGAUUUGUGGCCUGACUCUGAUCAUAAGCCCCCUGCUCUCUUCCCAGGGCCACACUGCCUUGCCUAGAAAGGAUUCUAGAUCAGGAGUGCCCCUACGUGGGGAUGCCGCCUGCCCAGCCCAAAGCAAAGGCCUUGUUCAGCCUUUGAGGUGUAUGUUCCGGCUUCACAACUCCCUGAAACGGAGGCCUGAGUGACCGGAGAUGGCAAGAAAAUGGGAGGAGGUGUCUCUAAGCAUGGCCAGGGCCCCAUGGGAGAGGGAAGUAUAGGGUAUAAAAUGCUAAUCAUAUGAUUUAGAGACACAGUGUCUUUCCAGAAGCUGGAAGAGAAAGACGUUAAGAGCUGGAGUGAGCAGUCUGGAACAGAAUCAACUCUUGGAAAAGUAUCCUUGGGAGACAGGUUGGGAGUGAAGACAGGAAGAGUGGUUUUCAGGAUUUAGGGCCCAGGGACAUAGAGGGGAAACUGAGUCAGGGCUUGGCUACAGACCCACCCUUUUGCUGGAAAUGGAUUUCUCUGCCAAAAGAGAAAUUGUUUGAACUCAUGGCCUAGAGUGAAGGCCACCAAGAAGCCAUUGUCGUUGGAAGCCAAGGGAGUCUGGGAGCUGGUCAGCUCUGGUGGAGAAAGUCUGUUUAUCCAGGGACAGGAAAGAGGCAAGGUCUACACGGGCUGGGCUGGGAGGCCCAGGGGCAGCACGAGGGAGAGGGACCCCAAGUCUGGGUUUCAAGGGGCAUCAAUGAACUAGAAAACGGAAUGAGGCUGGGUGCAGUGGCUCACGCCUGUAAUCCCAGCACUUUGGGAGGCUGAGGCAGCUGGAUCAC